UACAGAGGGGGCAAGCGUUGUUCGGAAUUACUGGGCGUAAAGGGCGCGUAGGCGGCCUGUUAAGUCGGACGUGAAAUCCCUCGGCUCAACCGGGGAACUGCGUCCGAUACUGGCGGGCUUGAAUUCGGGAGAGGGAUGUGGAAUUCCAGGUGUAGCGGUGAAAUGCGUAGAUAUCGGAAGGAACAUCAGUGGCGAAAGCGGCUCUCUGGGACGGUACUGACGCUGAGACGCGAAAGCGUGGGGAGCGAACAGG
rnacentral:rRNA from 1 species